GAGCAGUGCACAUCCUUCCUGUGCUGUGUUUAAAACCAUCCCUACUCUGAGAGUUUUCUUCAGUUCUCCUGAUAGUUCGAAGACACUAGCUGCUCUGCUGCCUCUGAGCCCUUAUGGCCCUCAUCUGUAAUUUCUCAUUGGUUCUGUAGUGCUGCUGGGUUUGCUAAUUGAUCUCUGAAUUUUCACUUUAUCAAGCAAAAUAUAAAUUCUUGGGCAGGGCCAGAAUCUAAUUCACUUUCCAUUCCUGUUUUUGACCCUCUGACAGUAGUGUAAGGCAAGAACGAGUGCUCAGCAUGUAUUUAUGAGUCAUCCACACUGUAUUUCCAUCAUAGGAUAUAAGUGAUACUAACGACAUCAACCAGGGGACACUGUUUUGGAAGCAGACUCAGGCUCUGGUAGAAUGAGCUAAUUUUUAUCCAAAGCAGUAAGAUUUGGAGUAAAGGACGACUUGGGGCAGGUGGGUCUCCAGAGAUCACUGGCCAGCCAGUCUAGCAGAAUCAGUGAACUCCAGGGUCAGUGAUGUGACCCUGUCUGGAAAAAUAGGGAAAGCAGGAGAGGAAGACAUCCAGUACCAACCCCUGACCUUCUCCCACACAUAUAUACUCUCCAUAAACAUAGACACCCAAGGAAGCCUCAACCUUAGCCAUAGAUGUAAAUGAAAAUUAUGCAAUGCUAGACCAGGUAUGGAAGCACAUACCUAUACUCUCAGCAUUGGAGAGUCAUGAGUUCUGGGUUAACCUGGGUUACUUAAUGAGUUCUCGAAUAGCCCGGGCUACACAAUAAGAAAAGAAAAGAACAAUGACAAACUUCACAUUUUAGAUUCACACAUAAAAUAUUAGAUAACUGUUGGGAUGGGAAUGGAGAAACAGGCACUCUAGUGUAAACUAUACAUAUUUUUUUUAAAUAUAAAACUUUACGUACCCUCUGAGCUUAAUUUGUAUCUGAUGGCCAUGACACAUUAGGCAAAAGAAUGUUCCCUGAAGUAUUUGUAUGAAGGUAAGACUAGAAACAGGUAAAUGUUUAUCAUUUACCUAAAUAAAUCAUGGAAUGCAGUAGUUGAAAAGAAUACAGUGUUUGCAUAUUGCUGAGAUGACAGCGUCAACGAGAAAAGUAAAAGAUGGUGUGAUUUAGUUGUACUGUGGAUUCAGGACACAGAGUUACUCGCAGAUUUGUAUAAAUAAAGCUGUCACAGGAAGGGCAAGGGCCAAAUACUAUGGCUGCCUCCAAAGAGGAAAAUUUGGGGUUAGGGGAUUGGGAAGAGAUUUUUGUAACCAUGGAUAUUUGACUUUUUUUCUGGGGACAUUUAAUACCUUUGCAAAAUAAAUUCUUGGCAGUUUGUAAACUAAUGCUCUAGAAUAUCAAUUAUUUUUUGCUGAAGUCCGAUCACAAGGGCAAGUCCUACGUUUUGAGAUAUGAAAGACCAUCGCGAUAGGGUUAAGAAGAAUACGAACACUAGCAUAAUUCAUGGAGCUUAAGUUAAACCCGAGUGGCCAGACCAUGUGAAUUUUAUUUAUAGUGAUAUUUCAAAAGCAAAGAAGAUAUAAAGUCUCAAACAUUUGCUACACUAAGUUAUUUUAAAUGGUUUCUAUGUUACUGAGUAUGAAGGGAAAAAAAAAGAUUAAGGCCAGCAGGCUGUUGCCACCAAGGCUGACUUUCAGUCCCAAAAGCCCAUACAUUAGGAGAACUCCUUUUAAGUUGUCUUCUGACCUCCAUAAACAUGCAGUGGCACAUGUAUACUUCCUUC
rnacentral:lncRNA from 1 species